UACAAACCUAUGCACGUCUUUUGGAACUGCCUUCUUUUUCUCACGGUAUUUUCUUUUUUAAGAUUUUAUGUAUUUAUUUGACAGACAGAGACAGCCAGCGAGAGAGGGAACACAGCAGGGGGAGUGGGAGAGGAAGAAGCAGGCUCAUAGCGGAGGAGCCUGAUGUGGGGCUCGAUCCCAGAACUCCGGGAUCACGCCCUGAGCUGAAGGCAGACGCUUAACGACUGUGCCACCCAGGCGCCCCUCUCAAGGUAUUUUUGAGAUUUAUCCAUGUCAUUAAGUGUGUCAGUAUUUCUUUCCAUUUUGUUGCUGAGUAAUAUUCCAUUGCAGGGAUACACAACAAUUGGUGGGGUUUUUUGUGUGUUUUUUAAGAUUUUAUUUAUUUGAGAGCGAGAGAGAGAGAGAGAGAGAGAGAGAGAGUGAGAGAGCAUGAGCAGGGAGGAGAGGGAGAAGCAGGCUCCCGGCAAGCAGGGAGCCCAAUGGGGGCUUGAUCCCAGGACCCUGGGAUCAUGACCCGAGCUGAAGGCAGACACUUAAUGGACUGAGCCACCGAGGCUCCCCAUACAACAAUCUGUUUAUCCAUUCCUCUGUGAUGGAGAUUUAGGGUGUUUCCAGUUUGGGGCUAUUCUAAAUAAAACUGCUCUGAUCAUUCUUCUACAAGUCUUUGUAUGGAUAUGUUUUCAUUCUCUUGCGUGAAUACCUAGAAGUACAACUGCUAAGUCAUGUGGUGAGUAAAUGUUUAUAAGAAACUGCAAACUUGUUCUCCGUUGCAUCAUUUCACAGUCCCACCAGCAGUGCGUGACAGUUCCUGUUGCUCCACAUCCUUGCCUCUACUUGGAAUCGGUCAGACUUUUUUUUUUUUUUAAGUAAACUCUACGCCCGAUGUGGGGACUUGAACUCACGACCAAGAUCAAGAGUCCCACGCUGUACGGACUGAGCCAGCCAGGCACCCCGCAACUUUAAAGAUACUCUUGAGUUUCCUGAGUGGACAAUCAUAUGGAAGGGGAGAGGUUUUCAGGAUAUCUCAUCUGUGGUGUUCCCAGACAGCAAACUGCAUUAUCAAGAGAUCUGCACUCUAGCCCUAGCUGUCCCUACACAGCUGUGGAAUUAUAAGAAGAGGAAGAGAUGCCAGGAAUGGUCAUGUAUAGAGGCAGCCAGAGGGCAGCCGCCUGCAGGUCAAGGAGAGAGGCCUCAGAUGAGUAUAUACCAGUCAACACCUUGAUCUUGGACUUCCAGCCUCUAGAACGGUGAGAAAAUAAAUUUCUGUCAUUUAAGUCA
rnacentral:lncRNA from 1 species